rnacentral:lncRNA from 1 species
AGGGAAAGAAGGGGAGAGGAAGAGAAGGAGGGAGGGAAAGAAGGGGAGAGGGAGAGACCCAGAUCUAGACUGUGCCCCCCAAGGAAUAGAUAGUUUGACAGAAUACUUAGCAGUAUAGGGACAGAAAAGAAUGACAUGAUUUCUAGGAACAUAGCCACAUAGCCAGAGCAACAGAAAAUGAAGAAAGGAAUUCAUUUAGAACAAAGGAAUUGGGUAGAGUUCUAAGAAGAAAGCACUAGUCACCAACGAGCUGCUAAAGAAAUUGGCUGACUAUAAUGAGAUAGGACCAAUUCUAGAUCAAGUUUGUUCCAGCCUCUCAUUUCAGCACUCUGGCCAAGUCCCGGCCCUCACUGUGGUCUAAGGGAAACAAUUAUCUUGAAUAUCUUUCUCCUAAGGCUUUUAUAGGAGGGAAAGUAUGAUUACUAUAGGGAGUUUCACUGAUAACUAAGUCAUUAGCUGAUUAGCCAAGUGUUAGCUGAUAAGUAAGGUGUCAGCUGAUGGCUCUGAUAGUUAGCUGAUAAAUAAGGUGUUAUUUAAUAACCAAUCAGCUGAUAACUGAGAUUUGCUGAUAAGUAAUGUUAGCUGAUAAGUUAAAGUUUGCUGAUAGGAACAUAAGCGAGAAACUUCUGGGCUGGUAAUCCAUUAGCUGAUAACUAAUGAAUUUAGCUGAUAAUCAAGGUAACUGAUAGCAACAUAUUGGUUAAUAACUAAGGUGUUAAGUGAUAUCAGGGAUGUGACCUCCUUCUCCUGGGUAUUGUAUUUUUUAAUGAGAUCUCAGAAGUCAUAAAAUCCAACUGCUUCACUUUUCAGAUGAAGAAACUGGGACCCAGGAGGUUAAAUAAUUUGCUUGACCCACAGUGACAGAGCUGAAAUUUGAACCUAAGUCACUUCUUACUGUAUUAUGUAAAACUGAAUAAAAGAAUCCUUCAGCACCUUAGAAAAUGAAUCACUCACGAUAGAAUUUUAUACCAAUGUGGGUUGAUAUGUUGGGGAUAGUGGGGCCUGCCCAAAACCCCUCAAGUCAUACCAGGUGCCUACUAGUCUGUAAGGUCAGCUAGCAGUACAUAUAUGUAGUAUAGCCACAAAAAUACAGCAAGACAGAUGAUGUUGAAUUACACACAAAGAAAGAUGCAUACAUAUAUUCACUUACAGACACAAACACACACACCCAGUCCCACUUACUCAGAGGCCCACAAAGAUGGCAUGUGGUUAAAAUUUCCUCACUCUCUCUUUCUCUCUCUGUCUCUCUCUGCCCUCUCUCUCUGCCC